rnacentral:rRNA from 1 species
UACAGAGGGUGCUAGCGUUGUUCGGAAUCAUUGGGCGUAAAGGGCGUGUAGGCGGUUUGUUAAGUCAUGUGUGAAAUCCCUCGGCUCAACUGAGGAUCGUCGAUCGAUACUGCCGUUCUUGAGGAUUGCAGAGGAGACUGGAAUUCCCGGUGUAGCGGUGAAAUGUGUAGAGAUCGGGAGGAACACCGGUGGCGAAGGCGGGUCUCUGGGCAAUUCCUGACGCUGAGGCGCGAAAGCGUGGGGAGCAAACGGG